rnacentral:rRNA from 1 species
CAAGUCGAACGAUGAAGCUGGAGCUUGCUCCAGUGGAUUAGUGGCGAACGGGUGAGUAACACGUGAGCAAUCUGCCCUUGACUCUGGGAUAACUGCGGGAAACUGUAGCUAAUACCGGAUACGACACCUUGGGGCAUCCCGAGGUGUGGAAAGAAUUUCGGUCAAGGAUGAGCUCGCGGCCUAUCAGCUUGUUGGUGAGGUAAAAGCUCACCAAGGCGACGACGGGUAGCCGGCCUGAGAGGGUGACCGGCCACACUGGAACUGAGAUACGGUCCAGACUCCUACGGGAGGCAGCAGUGGGGAAUAUUGCACAAUGGGCGCAAGCCUGAUGCAGCAACGCCGCGUGAGGGAUGAAGGCCUUCGGGUUGUAAACCUCUUUUAUCAGGGAAGAAGCGAAAGUGACGGUACCUGAAGAAAAAGCACCGGCUAACUACGUGCCAGCAGCCGCGGUAAUACGUAGGGUGCAAGCGUUGUCCGGAAUUAUUGGGCGUAAAGAGCUCGUAGGCGGUUUGUCGCGUCUGCUGUGAAAAUCCAAGGCUCAACCUUGGACCUGCAGUGGGUACGGGCAGACUAGAGUGCGGUAGGGGAGAUGGGAAUUCCUGGUGUAGCGGUGGAAUGCGCAGAUAUCAGGAGGAACACCAAUGGCGAAGGCACAUCUCUGGGCCGUAACUGACGCUGAGGAGCGAAAGCGUGGGGAGCGAACAGGAUUAGAUACCCUGGUAGUCCACGCCGUAAACGGUGGGUGCUAGUUGUGGGCCACAUUCCACGUGGUCCGUGACGAAGUUAACACAUUAAGCACCCCGCCUGGGGAGUACGGUCGCAAGACUAAAACUCAAAGGAAUUGACGG